rfam:Salmo salar isolate Sally breed double haploid chromosome ssa09, whole genome shotgun sequence.
UGCAUUCACUACUGUAAGUCGCUCUGGAUAAGAGCGUCUGCUAAAUGUCCCAAA